rnacentral:rRNA from 1 species
GUGAGGAAUCUUCCACAAUGGGCGAAAGCCUGAUGGAGCAACGCCGCGUGAAGGAUGAAGGUCUUCGGAUUGUAAACUUCUUUUAUGAGUGAAGAAUAUGACGGUAACUCAUGAAUAAGCACCGGCUAACUACGUGCCAGCAGCCGCGGUCAUACGUAGGGUGCAAGCAUUAUCCGGAGUGACUGGGCGUAAAGAGUUGCGUAGGCGGUUAUGUAAGCGAAUAGUGAAACCUGGUGGCUCAACCACACAGACUAUUAUUCGAACUGCAUAACUCGAGAAUGGUAGAGGUAACUGGAAUUUCUUGUGUAGGAGUGAAAUCCGUAGAUAUAAGAAGGAACACCAAUGGCGUUGGCAGGUUACUGGGCCAUUUCUGACGCUAAGGCACGAAAGCGUGGGGAGCGAACCGGAUUAGAUACCCGAGUAGUCC